GGAGGCGUGCCAGAGCGGCCGAAUGGGGCUCACUGCUAAUGAGUUGUCCCCCUCACAGGGGACCGGAGGUUCAAAUCCUCUCGUCUCCGCCA
rnacentral:tRNA from 1 species